rnacentral:rRNA from 1 species
AACGAACGCUGGCGGCGUGCCUAACACAUGCAAGUCGAACGAGAAAGGGGCUUCGGCUCCGAGUAAAGUGGCGCACGGGUGAGUAACACGUGGGUAACCUGCCUCUAAGAUUGGGAUAACUCGUCGAAAGAUGAGCUAAUACCGAAUAAGACCACAGUUCCCGCGGGAACAGGGGUCAAAGGUAGCCUCUGCUUGCAAGCUAUCACUUAGAGAUGGGCCUGCGCACCAUUAGCUAGUUGGUAGGGUAACGGCCUACCAAGGCAAAGAUGGUUAGCUGGUCUGAGAGGAUGCUCAGCCACACUGGAACUGAGACACGGUCCAGACUCCUACGGGAGGCAGCAGUGGGGAAUAUUGCGCAAUGGGCGAAAGCUUGACGCAGCAACGCCGCGUGAGUGAUGAAGGCCUUCGGGUCGUAAAGCUCUGUCGGGAGGAACGAAUGCUCCUGAGGUUAACAGCCUCGGGAGGUGACGGUACCUUCAAAGGAAGCACCGGCUAACUCUGUG